GAUGAACGCUGGCGGCGUGCCUAAUACAUGCAAGUCGAGCGAAGCGGGGACGGGUGAGUAACACGUGGAUAACCUCCUAUAAGACUGGGAUAACUUCGGGAAACCGGAGCUAAACCGGAUACUUAUAGAUGGAUCCGCGCUGUAUUAGCUAGUUGGGAAGGUAACGGCCUACCAAGGCAACGAUGCAUAACCGACCUGAGAGGUUGACCAGCCACACGGGAACUGGGACACGUUCCAGACUCCUACGGGAGGCAGCAUUGGGGAAUAUUGCACAAUGGGCGCAAGCCUGGUGCAGCCAUGCCGCGUGUGUGAAGAAGGCCUUCGGGUUGUAAAGCACUUUCAGCGAGGAGGCGUUACUCGCAGAAGAGGCACCGGCUAACUCCGUGCCAGCAGCCGCGGUAAUAC
rnacentral:rRNA from 1 species